UACGGGGGGAGCAAGCGUUGUUCGGAUUUACUGGGCGUAAAGGGCGCGUAGGCGGCCAGCACAAGUCAGUUGUGAAAUCUCCGAGCUUAACUCGGAAAGGUCAACUGAUACUGUGCGGCUAGAGUGCGGAAGGGGCAACUGGAAUUCUUGGUGUAGCGGUGAAAUGCGUAGAUAUCAAGAGGAACACCUGCGGCGAAGGCGGGUUGCUGGGCCGACACUGACGCUGAGGCGCGCAAGCCAGGGGAGCGAACGGG
rnacentral:rRNA from 1 species